GACCAAUUGCUACGAUCUGUGCCAUUGGAGCUGAAGCCAAAGUUGGAGUCCGUUCUAUCUACAGGGACUCAUCUUUGCUACCGAUUCCUAUGUUGGUUCCAAUUGUAUCUACGUGAGUGGGCUACCCCACUCAGAUUAACGACCACCACCGCACAUGACAUCGGAGAACUCUUAAGACCUGCCACACGCAGCGAUCAACAGCGCCAGCGGUCAAGAAAAAACCGCGAGUCCAAGGCCGAUCUGGCGUCCAGAAACCGUGGUACUUCUGGCGAUUAAAGAAAAUCAAAGGAAGAUGAUCGGCCACCACACCACCACUUCCAACGACAUGAUGUCGGAGAUCUGCAUCUUUCUUAGAACUUUGGUCGCAGAAACUUCACCACCGUUUCCUUCGGAGGCCUCUGGCCUGAAUCUACCCUGAAUCUACAGCUGAUUAACAAAACGUCUGAAUCAACCAUCCUGUCUAACUCGAUCGCCGUCAUCCUCAGCUCCCCAGCGUUCAGCUCCAGAUAUAGCUUGUCUGCUCGAGAUUUGGCGUUGAUAAUGUACUAGGAGAACCUACGACGAGUGACAAAAACGAUACGAGGUUCUUGGAGUACCGGCCAUAUACAAGGAGUUGGCUGUGAUGCGGGCUGGAACGAUUCCGGAGAUGACGCAACUACCGCUGAUUGCGAAGAAAAGCCGCUGAACGAGUUAGGAUUUCUUGCGGCUUUGAUCUGGCGGUCAUUUCAGUCGUUGUUCCGAUGUCCCGAGGAUUAAGGUUACGUACAAGUUUGCGGCGACCGGCACCGAUGCCCUUUAGGAUGGACUCGAUGCCGCGGUUGACGAAGGUGCUUCUUGUGGGGAUGGUCGCGAUGACCUGGGACACUUCCAGAUUGUUCCACAGUUGGAGGCGGUUACUUUGGAUUUGCCGAGGGCGGUCAGACGAGUUCGGCUUUCAGGCGAUCGGGACGGAACAGCUGAUGAGGCCGAGCAGAACGUCGAGUGGUGCCCAGUUCGGCUGUUCGCAGAGGGCAACACAAGCCACCUCGUCGUAGGUAGCCCCAGAACGGAACACCACGGCCUCGGAACCGGGGUUCUACUCCUGGCGCAGAUUUUGAUUGUGCCGGAACAGCAAAUUGAAGAAGAGGUCCCACGAGAUAGUCGCUGCGGCACCUGAUCCGGCAGGGAUUCGUGGAGUGUUUGGAGAGCGAGCGGAUCAACGAGGUUCAGCAGCAGGCCGCUGCAACGACUUCCUGUGCCACCACACCCAAGAUCUACCGUUUGUUAACGUCGCAAGUCUGUACGUACCCAACCACGACCGGACUGUUGAAGUGCGUCACGGCCGAGUUGAAGCUCACCUCGAACAAGAGCCAGGUGUCGCAGUUUGGGAACUUGUGCAAGAUUCGGGUGGUUCAGCGCGAGCAACAGCAGCAGCAUCAGCAAACGAUCAAUGAGCUGUCGCACCACCACAACAGUACGACGUUUAACGGGAGCAUGAUAUCGGCGUCGAGGUAGGGGAAGACGCGACGAGCGUCUCCGGAAAGCCCAAGUCAGCGGCAGAAUUGGCAAGUGUGCCUGAGCUUGCCGCGAAGUGCUGGGAGCACAGGUAGAGGAGGCCACAAAGCUAGUCACGAGGGUUUCUGCCUAGUCGGAGUAAUGCAUCCCGGAGGUGUUCAAUCAGGCAGCGAUUCUCUCGCCGUGCCUGCCCUUCAUCGAAGAGAUCAACGCCAACUCGGCGAACCGCGUCACCGCGCAGAAUGACAUGGAACGACGAAUCGCCGCAGCUUGAACGCCCUUUCGCGAAUCGAAGGCGGUGACGAGGAGCUCGUCAUCGGUGCCACCAACCGGCCGAAUGUGCUCCACUUGGCCCUGCGUCGUGCCGGUCGCUUUGCAUAGGAAUUCUGCGACGAACUCGCCGGUUACGUCGGAGCAGAUCCGUUGGCGCUAGUCAAACGCGCGGCCGCGACCGCCAUCAGUUGCUGGUCGAGGCCAUUCGCGAGCGUGAUAUGGAAAUCCUGCAUCGUGAAGCGGAAAUGGAACGACUCAAGCAACUUGCCAAGAAGGUCGUCGUCGAUGACAAAAUCAUGGAGGUGGUUGCGCUGGAUGAUGACGUUGAGGAGGUCGUGAACCUGACAAAGAGGAAGAAAAAUCUGCCAAAGCCGAGAAGACAGCCGCGGAAGAGGAAAAGGCGAUUAAUUAAUUAUAACUUGUA